AUUGAACGCUGGCGGCAGGCCUAACACAUGCAAGUCGAACGGUAACAGGAAACAGCUUGCUGUUUCGCUGACGAGUGGCGGACGGGUGAGUAAUGUCUGGGAAACUGCCUGAUGGAGGGGGAUAACUACUGGAAACGGUAGCUAAUACCGCAUAACGUCGCAAGACCAAAGAGGGGGACCUUCGGGCCUCUUGCCAUCGGAUGUGCCCAGUUGGGAUUAGCUAGUAGGUGGGGGAACGGCUCACCUAGGCGACGAUCCCUAGCUGGUCUGAGAGGAUGACCAGCCACACUGGAACUGAGACACGGUCCAGACUCCUACGGGAGGCAGCAGUGGGGAAUAUUGCACAAUGGGCGCAAGCCUGAUGCAGCCAUGCCGCGUGUAUGAAGAAGGCCUUCGGGUUGUAAAGUACUUUCAGCGGGGAGGGAGGGAGUAAAGUUAAUACCUUUGCUCAUUGACGUUACCCGCAGAAGAAGCACCGGCUAACUCCGUGCCAGCCGCCGCCGUAA
rnacentral:rRNA from 1 species